ACAGAUUGGCCUGAGAACAUUUCCUAAAGUACAGUGCUAAGAUAAAAAGUUGCUGUUUUGCAUUCAGGUCUUGCCAUCCACACAAACAUCACAGCCACAGAGUGAGUUGGGAUCAUAGUACUGGUCUAGUGUUCUCAUUGGAUAUAAUUUACCACUGGCCAGCCUCCAGAUUCCCACACGGGA